rnacentral:rRNA from 1 species
GGUUAAGCGACUAAGCGUACACGGUGGAUGCCCUGGCAGUCAGAGGCGAUGAAGGACGUGCUAAUCUGCGAUAAGCGUCGGUAAGGUGAUAUGAACCGUUAUAACCGGCGAUUUCCGAAUGGGGAAACCCAGUGUGUUUCGACACACUAUCAUUAACUGAAUCCAUAGGUUAAUGAGGCGAACCGGGGGAACUGAAACAUCUAAGUACCCCGAGGAAAAGAAAUCAACCGAGAUUCCCCCAGUAGCGGCGAGCGAACGGGGAGCAGCCCAGAGCCUGAAUCAGUGUGUGUGUUAGUGGAAGCGUCUGGAAAGGCGCGCGAUACAGGGUGACAGCCCCGUACACAAAAAUGCACAUGCUGUGAGCUCGAUGAGUAGGGCGGGACACGUGGUAUCCUGUCUGAAUAUGGGGGGACCAUCCUCCAAGGCUAAAUACUCCUGACUGACCGAUAGUGAACUAGUACCGUGAGGGAAAGGCGAAAAGAACCCCGGCGAGGGGAGUGAAAAAGAACCUGAAACCGUGUACGUACAAGCAGUGGGAGCACGCUUAGGCGUGUGACUGCGUACCUUUUGUAUAAUGGGUCAGCGACUUAUAUUCUGUAGCAAGGUUAACCGAAUAGGGGAGCCGAAGGGAAACCGAGUCUUAACUGGGCGUUAAGUUGCAGGGUAUAGACCCGAAACCCGGUGAUCUAGCCAUGGGCAGGUUGAAGGUUGGGUAACACUAACUGGAGGACCGAACCGACUAAUGUUGAAAAAUUAGCGGAUGACUUGUGGCUGGGGGUGAAAGGCCAAUCAAACCGGGAGAUAGCUGGUUCUCCCCGAAAGCUAUUUAGGUAGCGCCUCGUGAAUUCAUCUCCGGGGGUAGAGCACUGUUUCGGCAAGGGGGUCAUCCCGACUUACCAACCCGAUGCAAACUGCGAAUACCGGAGAAUGUUAUCACGGGAGACACACGGCGGGUGCUAACGUCCGUCGUGAAGAGGGAAACAACCCAAACCGCCAGCUAAGGUCCCAAAGUCAUGGUUAAGUGGGAAACGAUGUGGGAAGGCCCAGACAGCCAGGAUGUUGGCUUAGAAGCAGCCAUCAUUUAAAGAAAGCGUAAUAGCUCACUGGUCGAGUCGGCCUGCGCGGAAGAUGUAACGGGGCUAAACCAUGCACCGAAGCUGCGGCAGCGACGCUGAUGCGUUGUUGGGUAGGGGAGCGUUCUGUAAGCCUGCGAAGGUGUGCUGUGAGGCAUGCUGGAGGUAUCAGAAGUGCGAAUGCUGACAUAAGUAACGAUAAAGCGGGUGAAAAGCCCGCUCGCCGGAAGACCAAGGGUUCCUGUCCAACGUUAAUCGGGGCAGGGUGAGUCGACCCCUAAGGCGAGGCCGAAAGGCGUAGUCGAUGGGAAACAGGUUAAUAUUCCUGUACUUGGUGUUACUGCGAAGGGGGGACGGAGAAGGCUAUGUUGGCCGGGCGACGGUUGUCCCGGUUUAAGCGUGUAGGCUGGUUUUCCAGGCAAAUCCGGAAAAUCAAGGCUGAGGCGUGAUGACGAGGCACUACGGUGCUGAAGCAACAAAUGCCCUGCUUCCAGGAAAAGCCUCUAAGCAUCAGGUAACAUCAAAUCGUACCCCAAACCGACACAGGUGGUCAGGUAGAGAAUACCAAGGCGCUUGAGAGAACUCGGGUGAAGGAACUAGGCAAAAUGGUGCCGUAACUUCGGGAGAAGGCACGCUGAUAUGUAGGUGAAGUCCCUCGCGGAUGGAGCUGAAAUCAGUCGAAGAUACCAGCUGGCUGCAACUGUUUAUUAAAAACACAGCACUGUGCAAACACGAAAGUGGACGUAUACGGUGUGACGCCUGCCCGGUGCCGGAAGGUUAAUUGAUGGGGUCAGCGCAAGCGAAGCUCUUGAUCGAAGCCCCGGUAAACGGCGGCCGUAACUAUAACGGUCCUAAGGUAGCGAAAUUCCUUGUCGGGUAAGUUCCGACCUGCACGAAUGGCGUAAUGAUGGCCAGGCUGUCUCCACCCGAGACUCAGUGAAAUUGAACUCGCUGUGAAGAUGCAGUGUACCCGCGGCAAGACGGAAAAACCCCGUGAACCUUUACUAUAGCUUGACACUGAACAUUGAGCCUUGAUGUGUAGGAUAGGUGGGAGGCUUUGAAGUGUGGACGCCAGUCUGCAUGGAGCCGACCUUGAAAUACCACCCUUUAAUGUUUGAUGUUCUAACGUGGACCCGUAAUCCGGGUUGCGGACAGUGUCUGGUGGGUAGUUUGACUGGGGCGGUCUCCUCCUAAAGAGUAACGGAGGAGCACGAAGGUUGGCUAAUCCUGGUCGGACAUCAGGAGGUUAGUGCAAUGGCAUAAGCCAGCUUGACUGCGAGCGUGACGGCGCGAGCAGGUGCGAAAGCAGGUCAUAGUGAUCCGGUGGUUCUGAAUGGAAGGGCCAUCGCUCAACGGAUAAAAGGUACUCCGGGGAUAACAGGCUGAUACCGCCCAAGAGUUCAUAUCGACGGCGGUGUUUGGCACCUCGAUGUCGGCUCAUCACAUCCUGGGGCUGAAGUAGGUCCCAAGGGUAUGGCUGUUCGCCAUUUAAAGUGGUACGCGAGCUGGGUUUAGAACGUCGUGAGACAGUUCGGUCCCUAUCUGCCGUGGGCGCUGGAGAACUGAGGGGGGCUGCUCCUAGUACGAGAGGACCGGAGUGGACGCAUCACUGGUGUUCGGGUUGUCAUGCCAAUGGCACUGCCCGGUAGCUAAAUGCGGAAGAGAUAAGUGCUGAAAGCAUCUAAGCACGAAACUUGCCCCGAGAUGAGUUCUCCCUGACUCCUUGAGAGUCCUGAAGGAACGUUGAAGACGACGACGUUGAUAGGCCGGGUGUGUAAGCGCAGCGAUGCGUUGAGCUAACCGGUACUAAUGAACCGUGAGGCUUAACCUU